rnacentral:rRNA from 1 species
CCUACGGGAGGCAGCAGUGAGGAAUAUUGGUCAAUGGUAGAGAUCCUGACCCAGCCAAGCCGCGUGAGGGAAGACGGCCCUAUGUGUUGUAAACCUCUUUUGUCGGAGCACAAAACCUGGGACGAGUCCCGGAAUGAGUCUAGCCGAAGAAAAAGCAUCGGCUAACUCCGUGCCAGCAGCCGCGGUAAUACGGAGGAUGCGAGCGUUAUCCGGAUUUAUUGGGUUUAAAGGGUGCGUAGGCGGUCUGUUACGUCAGCGGUAAACUUGCGGGGCUCAACACCGGCGAGCCGUUGAGACUGGCAUGCUUGAGUUGGCGAGAAGUACGCGGAAUGCGCGGUGUAGCGGUGAAAUGCAUAGAUAUUGCGCAGAACUCCGAUUGCGAAGGCAGCAUACCGGCGCCAGACUGACGCUGAGGCACGAAAGCGUGGGGAUCGAACAGGAUUAGAUACCCCUGUAGUC